rnacentral:lncRNA from 1 species
ACUUCAGGCAUCCUCGAGCCAGGGAAUUCUGAGAAGGCUGUCUUACCACCAGAAACUGUGUUGGAUAAAGUCUGCAGGGACAGAGGGACAGGUGCUUUUUACCUGCUUGCCAAAUCAACGCAGUCUUGAGAGGCCCAGCAAAAAGAGAAGCAUACCACAAUAAGCUGUCCUUACAGCACCAGAAAUUGUAAUCAUUGAAGCCUUGCACAAGUACAUCUCAGCAAAAAAGAUGUGUGUAGAGAAUGUAGGGGUGGCAGGAAAAAGACAGCUCACAGCUCUCUAAGUGCCAUGGACCAAGCCAGUAUUAGGUUUGAAAUAAAUGGCUCAGAAAUUUACAAACUUACCUCUUAAAAAAGGAAAGAAGCACCUGGUGUUGGUAGACUGAUAUUCUCAUUCAAGAGAAGAUGAGAGCUGUUUCCACUGCUGGAAGAAGAUCAAGGGCAGGGAAGCCAGGCAAUAGGACAAAAGCUGAACGCGGUAACUUCUAGUGCCGCUGUCUGAGGACAAACCAGUGGCUGCAUGGAAAUUCUGUUCUCUGGUGAUACAGGGUACGGGUGGAAGAGAUCUGACCUAAUCAGGACACAGUAGUUUAAAUGGUGUCUGGGUUGGAAAUGAGAUGGUCAUGGAGAGUAGAGAAGGGGAAAAAAAUGAAGAGCUUGUAGAGCACCAGUACAAACACUUGCACCAGUGUGCAAUUUGUUCUGUAAAAAGCCAUUUGUUUCUGUAAAACAAGCAAGAGUGGAAAGCUUUCAACUAGCUCCUUAAGUGACACAGCAGAAAAUUCUUUAAAAUUAUUAUUUAGUUUUUAAUUGUUUCAUUUUGAAUUAUUUAUUCUCUUUCUUUCCUUUUAACAUUCUUCUAAUGUUGAGAAAGUAAAUUAAGGAGUCCAGUAUAGUAGUAUUUGUAUAAUCAAAUAUACUUAAUUUUAUGCUCAUUUAUUUCCUGUUUCUAGCAUACUGUUGUGAUGUACUGGUUAUGUUAUAUAAAUGCAACAAACUGUUUAUUCUUUGCUUUUAAGCUGUUUCUGUUGGAAUAAAGGAAGUCAGUGGGUGCAUUUUUUUGC